GGGAAAAGCCCAGCACCGAAGCCUGUGGUCAUUUGGUCACUAGGCAAUGUGGUGUUCAGGUCGUUCCAUAGAGGUGCUGCUCCACCCUAAGUCCAGCAAUGAGUACGGUGGUACGGACAUGGCCCACAGAGGGUGAAAGGCCCGUGGGGGUGGAGAUCAGGCA
rnacentral:rRNA from 1 species